rnacentral:tRNA from 1 species
GGUCCCAUCGUAUAACGGCAAUUAUAUCGGAUUGUCUCUCCGAGGAUCGGGGUUCAACUCCCCGUGGGAUCGCCA